rnacentral:rRNA from 1 species
UACGUAGGAUGCUAGCGUUGUUCGGAUUUACUGGGCGUAAAGCGCACGUAGGCGGAUCUUUAAGUCAGAGGUGAAAUCCCAAGGCUCAACCUUGGAACUGCCUUUGAUACUGGGGAUCUUGAGUCCGGGAGAGGUGAGUGGAACUGCGAGUGUAGAGGUGAAAUGCGUAGAUAUCGGAAGGAACACCAGUGGCGAAAGCGGCUUCCUGGUCCAGCACCGACGUUCAGGCACGAAAGCGCUGGGGAGCAAACAGG